AAACAAGACAAAAAAACACUUGUUAAGGGGGGAGAUGUUUUUGUAAAAAAAGGAAUCACUAAAAUUAUGUAAUUUUGUACUAGCCAAUAUAAGACUAUGGUAGUUCUAUGUCUAUGUGAUGUCACAGACCUGCAAUUGUUUUCUUUGUUGUUGUUUUUUUAACUUUUGCGCUUGAUGUAGACAUAAACCUAGUUUCACCAAGAUAUUAGUGUGGGUAGCCUAUAUGUUAUGCACAUACACUCUUCUCACUCACACACACACACACACACACACACACACACACACACACACACACACACACACACACACACACA